rnacentral:lncRNA from 13 species
UAUGAGGUGUUUGUAGUGACAUCCACAUGCAUGAGCCCUUGAUUGUUUUGUUUUCGUUUCUUAGUCUGCCUGGCUCUGUGUCUGGCUGGCUGGUCUGUAUCUGGUGCUUCUGUUGAAGCUCAGAAGACCUCCCCAGUCUGUUACCUCUGUAACCAUGAUAACUGCCCAACCGUUGAGUAUGUUUAUGACCAUUUUACUGCUAAUUUGACUCUGUGGUCGCGAGGUAAAAUGGUGGACCUCCCUCCCUGCCCCACCCACUCCCCUCUGUCAUCUGGAGGAUGCUUGGUGUGUGUUGACAACCAGAAGAUCUACGCUGUGUGUGACUCAGAUCAUCAAGCCAGUCUUUGAGGGCCAAGGCAACUCCAUGCCUAUCAUCAAAGCCAAUUGCAAAAGCAUUGUUUCAACUGAUUGGACGGAUCCAAAUGUCCCCACUUCCACCCCUGGUGGUACUGGGAGGUUAUCUAAGGAAGAAGAGAUCACUAUUGGCAUUUUAGCUGCUACCCUCUCCUUCCUUGCCAUCCUCGGCAUUGUUGCUUGGCGCUACAAGGACCAGAUUAAGUGUCUUCCAGUGGCCCUUCCAGCGGUCAAACCAGGGGAACCCCAGUGUUAUCCAAAUGAACUGAAGAAAGAGUUUGAUACCAUCAGCCGAGGAAUAGUUGGACCUGCAGGGAAUAGGGGUGUGCCAAGAUUUGAAUCUCAUUUACAUUUACCCUGUUUAGAAAUGUAUUGGAUAUGUCCUAUUUAA